UCAAGACUACUUAAUAGCUGGAAUAAAUAUCUUUUUUAGCUAGGUAUCGCAUCCAAACCGCCUUUUAAUCAUUUCGAAUGUUGUGAAGAAAUGGAAAUAAAGAAAGCCGCAUUACUUACGCAUUGGAUAGAUUACUUUAGGUUCGUCUGAGAUUCGAAUCAGAACUAAUUGUGAAGAGUACGAAACAAAUAAUUUUUCAAGAGACGAAUAGUAUAAUCUGAUUUUGAAGUGAUUUUAAUGCAUUCAGAAAUGCAAAGAAGCACGAAAACGUUUCGAGGAAUUUCUUGUCAGCAAUUUUCCCUGAUGUUUCAAAAGCGCAUAAUUCUGAUGUUUCAUACGCAUUUCCAAGAAAUUGAUUGACAUAUCAGUUGUAUUUUUUUUUAUCGAUUUGUUUCAAAAGCGCAUAAUUCUGAUGUUUCAUACGCAUUUCCAAGAAAUUGAUUGACAUAUCAGUUGUAUUUUUUUUUAAUCGAUUCUCAAGCUUACAUAAUUCUGAAAAAGCGUUUGGUGAAUUGGCAAGAAAUUAUGUUUUGUCGAAUGAUUUUCGUCAUGAAUCACUCGUCCAUAAUUUCGAAGAAAAACAGGCGAAGAUAGAAGAAAACGGUUUUGUUUCUUAUCGAUUUUUCAGCAAUGUCUUAUUCGUACUUUCAUUGGCAAUCUUUAGUACUCUUAUUAAUGUGAAGGUUAAUUUCGUUCGAGAAAAUUUUCUCCACACAAUCAAGACCAAUUCUCUCGUUGUAUUUCUAAAAGGCAAAAGAAUACCCAAGAUGUGACUCUAUUUAGACUUGCGACUACUUGACGUUUAAUCAAAACUGCUCUUCUCGAAUAUCCCAGAAUGAAUGGAAAUAAUCAAAUAUUGGGUACUAUAUGUGGAACUUGCCAACGUUGAAUACGCAAGUAAUGUCAGUUGAUGAAGGUUAAAAGAUUCUGAACAAUUACAGGAGAUUAAAAAAAAAUGUUUCCUGAAGUUGAGGAUUUCAAUUGAAGAUCAUCUUUGGAUUCAGUGUCAAGGAUACAAACAUGUCUUUGACAUAGGUUAAAAUUACACGCAGUGGAUGAACUGCUGCGAUUUUUUUAAAACUAAUUCUUCGAGCUUUGUUCUGUAUAUAACGAGUGAAGUGUCUGCAAAUAUUCAUAGAAAGAAUAAAUAGUUUUAAAAACUU